CCUUGUUAAGUUUGUUCACGGU
rnacentral:snRNA from 1 species